UAGGGAAUCUUCGGCAAUGGACGAAAGUCUGACCGAGCAACGCCGCGUGAGUGAAGAAGGUUUUCGGAUCGUAAAGCUCUGUUGUUAAAGAAGAACACGUAUGAGAGUAACUGUUCAUACGUUGACGGUAUUUAACCAGAAAGUCACGGCUAACUACGUGCCAG
rnacentral:rRNA from 1 species